GAUGAAGAACGUGGUGAAAUGCGAUAAGUAGUGUGAAUUGCAGAAUUCAGUGAAUCAUCGAAUCUUUGAACGCACAUUGCGCCCCUUGGUAUUCCAUGGGGCAUGCCUGUUCGAGCGUUAUUUGUACCUUCAAGCUUUGCUUGGUGUUGGGUGUUUGUCUCGCCUUUGCGUGUAGACUCGCCUUAAAAUAAUUGGCAGCCGGCGUAUUGAUUUCGGAGCGCAGUACAUCUCGCGCUUUGCACUCAUAACGACAGCGUCCAAAAGUACAUUUUACACUCUUGACCUCGGAUCAGGUAGGGAUACCCGCUGAACUUAAGCAUAUCAAUAAGCGGAGGA
rnacentral:misc_RNA from 1 species